AUUGCUGUUAUAGAAGGUAAUGUGUCUUACAUUUUACAGCUUAGCCUGCCCUCUCCCUACAGAUAUGUCCUCUUCCCUCUAGCUCUGCUGUAUGUGUAUGUCAGAUAGAUUAGAGGCCUGAGUGACCUGUGCCUUAGUCCCUGUUCCCUAAUUCCUCAACUUCCUGUCCAGCCUCCUUUGCGCUGAACAUACCUAGUGGUCACUAGACUUGCUGAUGCGGCAGAGGCCCCAGUCACCUCACGCCACCUCACACCAGCGCAAGGAGGCAGUCCCAGAAGGCUGAAACAGGAGAGACAUGCUCCACCAAAGGGUUUGCCUGAGUCUGGGUUAUUUGGAAUCUUUUUGUAGUAACUAAAAGCUUACCCCUUAGCACAGUGGCCUAAUCAUGUGUCCUUAGAGACUCUGUAUGUUGUCCUUGGUUCCUAUUACAGCUUCUCCUUCUUGGAGGUGAAGUUGAGCAGGGACAUCUUAAACAUCAGUAAAGUGGGCUUCUUGUAGAAUCUGAUGAAAGUUGUGGAUUCUUUUCCCAGAAAAAAUGCGCAGACAUUGAUUCACAGAAAAUUUCUCUAGAAACAAGAAGGGAGAUUAUCGGAAAUCAAAAACAUUCUUAAGAAUUAUUUUAUUUGUCAUAAUGCCAGAAGUUCCCAAGGGAAUACUUCUCUGGUUUUACAAAGUCAGAAAGAAAAAAAUUUUUGAUAUUUUCUUAAAGUUAACUUUUCAGAAAUGAAUCUGUUCCAUAGAAUAAAGCCCACAGAUCCAUUUUAAGGUACUUCUAAAAUGUUUUAUUUUAACCAAAUGAUAUACUGCAUAUGUUUUUAAUUUUUGAAAGUAUUUAGAUACCAAAGUUCUUAUAAUUCAAUUUUAAUUUUUUAUUAUAUUAAGAAUUUCACUUGUAUAAGUCCUCCAUUUAAGUACCAUAUGAUUUCAUUUUUUCUUGUCUUUGUAGUAUAUUCACUGCCUUCAAAGAAGCUAGUGGCUCUUCAAUUAAGAUCCAUUUUUAUUAAUUAUAAAUCAAAGCCAUUCUGUGAAAAACUACUUUCCUGGGUGAAAAGUAGUAACUGUGCCAAAGUUAUUGUUCUUUCAAGCAGUCAUUCCUAUCACCGUAAUGAUCUACAGCUUUGCAGACAUUGGACAACAAGCAGCGCACAACUGUGGUCCCUGAGAGAAGGCAGGUAAAGUCAUGCAUCCUGGAGAUGCUUUCUGGACUGCAACCCAGGGAAGGGAGGGCACACAGGCAGAGCAUGGUGGCCUUGCUCAGUUGAGGAGAUGUGAUCAGAGUUCAGGAAGGCUGAGACCACUGGAAAGUACAAGGCAGACAACCAGAGAUGGGAGCUGCUUGGAAGAGCUCUAGGAGUCUCUCUGAGUCUUUUUCUGAAUUCUAAGCCACAUGUGUGUAGGGUGAAACUCUCUGAGGCCAAAGAACACCUUCUGGGUAACUGUAACUUGCCCACAAAGUUAGCAACAAUAACAGAAAAUAUUAUGAAAUAGACAUAUUAUAGAACAUUUGGAAAAUGUAGAAUAGUCAAAAGAAACAAUAUUUAAAAUACUCAAUUCCAUCACCCAGAAAUAACUACCACUACCAACUUUUUUAUCUGUUUUCUUCCCAAUUUCUUUGAAAUACAGUUAAAUUGAAUGUAUGUAUCUGCAAGAUACUGCAACUCUAAUAUUUGCAACUUUGGAGUUCAUCCUAGUCAAAGAUGUUUCUCACAAUCUAUGUUAUUUUCCUUUUUUUAACGCAAAUCUUGUAUUCAUCCAUAACCAGACCCAUGUUUAAUGUUCAAUGUAAUUAUACAUUCAUCACAAUAAAGAAUUUUUGAAAUUGAAAAAAACAACCCUUAUCAUACAGCUUAUACAAUUUUGAAUCCUUUUUUCUCCCCGAUGCAUAUCAUGAUUAUUUGCUAAAUUUUUUCUAAUAUACAUAUUUUGCCUUCCCACUAUUAGAAGAAAUAUGUAUUCUCAUCUCUGAAAAAGAUAAUAUUAGUUACUCCAAAAUAAGUGGUGGCAAUGGUGUGGCUGAUCUGGGAUCCCUUAUAUUUAAUUGGAAUAGAAGUACUUUGUAAUUUAAUAAUGGAUAUAUCACGUGCUAAAUUUUAAUGUCACAGAAAGUACUUAAAUUAGUCAUCCUCCACCUUCCUUUUUUACAGAGAGGACCAGAGAAUGGUAUUAAAACUGUUACUCUGUGUGACAGUAGUAGUAGUAGAGGCACCGUGAGUUCAAGACCAUACCCCUGGCUUUUGAAGCGGGAGCCUUUAACGUGAAGGCACAGCCAGGGCAGCAGCCUUCCCCACACGGCAGCCAUUGCUAAGGCUGUCAUAGCGUGAGUGUUUAGGAACUAGAAUCUGAGCCAUCACAGCUCCCAGUGCCUACAUACAAAGCUUGAGAGCCCCUCAGUUAUUUGAAAACUAUGUACUGAGAUGGUAUAAUUACUGCUAACAACUUCCAGUUUCUCAUUUUUAGAGACUCAGAUGCUGUGGUAGACUCUCGCGGUACAUCUGAGACUGCUGAACCCAGGGUCAGAGUCUCUGCCACUUGGGACCCCAACUCCCCUUUAUUUCUGUCCAUCAUGUGGUCUCAUGUUUUGGCCUUAGGAUUUUCUCAUAGUUCUUGGUUUUGGGUGUUAGAGAUGAUUUUUGCUUUUUCUUAGCAGACAGGAAGCUUUUUGCGUUGCUGUAUCUCCAUCUCAUCACUAGCUUGAGGCCUUCAGAGCAAAACAUUUAGGAGAUUGUUUUCAAGACACAAAGACCUAAGUUCAAAUCCCACCUCUGCCACUUCCUGGAUAUAGAACUGGGAUCUUGUUACCAUGUUUUGGUCCCUUUAAAUCUCAGUUGCCUCGCAGUGAUAGCAAACACUUCCACAGCAUUGACUGUGUGUUCAGCACUGGUCUGAGCACUUUGCCCCCAUUACCUCCUUUACACCCCUCAGCAGCCUGCAAGGUUGGGUCUACCGUGAUCGCCCUUUUACAGUGAGGAACACUAAAGCCCUCAGUAAGUAACUUGCCCAACAUAUCUGGUAAGUGCAGAGCUGGAAUUUGCAUCCACGUAUUCUGUCCUUGUUCCCAUUGUUUCAAACUGAUUCAUUUAUAAAAUGGAGAUAAUUAUAACUUCCUCAAGGAUCAUUGAGGGAUUGAAUUGUAAAAUAUACAGACAGUGCUAGCACAUAAUAAUCACUCAGUCAAUGGAAUCUGUAAGAAGUAGUGGUAACUUACUUUCCCUGUAACUGUUCUGUUGUAUUCCACGGUCUUCCUUUGCUGCUUUAGAUUAUUGAUAACAAGGGUUUUUUCCUUCAGUCUCUUUGCUGCAGGGCUUCUGAAAAUCACUGUCUUCUACAGUAGCUUUUGGGAGUGGAUCAGAACGUACCUCAUGUGAUAUAGCCAGGGAUAUGCCUAGAGUGGGCCUUACAUGGCUCCUAGUCCUGACCCCACCAAUAGAAGAAUAUAUCUGGGGCAAGGGGAGAUAAAUAAGUGACCUUAUGAUGUGGCAUCUUCUCCUUGCCUACAACCUGGCAGAUCAUCUUAGCUAUAAACUGACUUACUGGAAUCAGUAUCAGUAGAAGAAUACUUAAUUAUUCUUUUUAUUUGUUGUAGCCGUUCUAAAGAAAUCCCACUGGCAGUCCUGCUGAAAUUUGUUUCCAAAGGAGACAAUAUCCCAGAUGCAUUGGGUCUUGUUGAGCAUCUUAAUGAAUGGCUUCAGAUAAUCAAACCCCGUGUAAGUUUUACUACAGUUUAAGCCUCUGCCUUCUCUGGUUGUGUAUUCAUAAACUUGCAUUUUAUAUACUAUAUAAGUAGACCAAAUAAGUGAAAGUUUACGUUAAAUAUAGACGUAACUUUAUAUAAGGUUUAGUUUAGCUGAAGUUUGGAAAAGGAAAGAGGGCAGUUAACCAACUUGUUGUCUACAGCCCUCAUUAAGGCUGGUUUUCCAAAAAAAGAAAAUCUGAAGUACUUCAUUGUAUUCACUGUCUGUGUUUUGUUAAUUAUACCCGACAGCUUCUUACAAGAGUAAACAAGUCCUGUUUGACAUUCAGGACUUUUUUGGGGGGUGGAAAGCACAAGGUAUUACUCUGUGAGCAAUACAGAGUUAUUGAAUAUGCAUUAUAAUUAAAGUGUUUUUCGCUAUUAUGAAAUAAGAGUGUUAAACCCAGAGUAAUCAAGUAGCCUUUAGGCAUAACAGGUACCGUAAGGCUGCUUUGUAUGGUAGGUAUCUUGUCUUUUUAAUUUGUGCUUUUGCCAGGAACAAUUGAUAGAAAUGACACAGUACUCACAUUUUUUUUUAACACCUGUUUCUUUUGAAUUUGAUUUUUCUUGAUGGACUCCAUCCACAGCCUUUCUGGCAUAUCUUUAUCAUUUGGAACUUGAGGAAAUUUAUCUUCAGUUAACAUAAAGAUAGAGAUUUAUUACUUUGUUUUUCCUUACAAUAGAACCCAGCUUUUUCAAAAACAAAAGGGUCAAAAAAAACUAGAGAUGGCAGAGUUUUGUAAUACUUACAUGUUAAAAGGAUAUUUGGUGGUAAAGUUGAAGGAGUAAAGUAUUUUGUUCCUCAAUUACAGUGCAAUGACCCCACAGCAUCUGCCUUGCUGUGGAAAAUACCAAGUUCUUGGAGAUUACUCUCUGGCAGUAGCCUUUCCCCUGUGCUUUUUUGAUCUGUUCUCAGUUUUAUACUCUAUGUACCAAGAUCCUUUUUACCAACCCAACUGUUGAACAACUGUAUAAAAAGUUGUAUCAUCUGAGAAUAUAUUAGGAAGUAAAUCUUUACUUUUCACAGAAAAUCUCAAAGAAAAAUGGAUUAACCAAAGGUUGGUUUUGGUAUACUUUUCAUCAUAUACAACAAAUGUAAAUUUGUACAAUAAAAUAUUUUCUAAGUAA